UGAAGUGGAGGCAAAUCUCAAAAAUUAGUCUCAGUUCGGAUUGCAGGCUGCAACUCGCCUGCAUGAAGUCGGAAUUGCUAGUAAUCGCGGAUCAGCAUGCCGCGGUGAAUACGUUCUCGGGCCUUGUACACACCGCCCGUCACACCAUGGGAGUCGGUAACACCCGAAGCCUGUGAGCUAACUUUUAGAGGCAGCAGUCGAAGGUAGAAUCAAUGAUUGGGGUGAAGUCGUAACAAGGUAGC
rnacentral:rRNA from 1 species